rnacentral:rRNA from 1 species
ACUUAAAAUCCAAAGGACUUGACGGUGUCCCACCCCCCUAGAGGAGCCUGUUCUAUAAUCGAUGACCCCCGCUAUACCUCACCACCCCUCGCCUCAUACAGCCUGUAUACCUCCGUCGCAAGCUUGCCAUAUGAAUGACCCUUAGCAAGCUCAAUGACCAUGCCCCGUCAUUACGUCAGGUCAAGGUGCAGCCCACGGGGUGGGACACAAUGGGCUACAAUUUCUAACUUAGAACAAACGGAUAUCUAUCUGAAAACAUAGACAUGAAGGUGGAUUUAGCAGUAAAAGGGAAAAAUAGUGUCCCCUUUAACAGCGGCCCUGGGACGCGUACAAACCGCCCGUCACCCUCUUCGAUAACGUACCAACAGUUAAUAACAAUUUUAUGCACUUUAGAAGAGGCAAGUCGUAACACGGUAAGCGUACUGGAAAGUGCGCUUAGAUAAACGAAAUGUAGCUUAGUAAAGCCCUCCGCUUACACCGGAAAGACAUCUGUUAGCGCAGAUCAUUUUGAGCCUAAAAUCUA